GGGCCCGCACAAGCGGUGGAGCAUGUGGUUUAAUUCGAUGCAACGCGAAAAACCUUACCUACCCUUGAAAUCCUUGGAAUCUCUCUGUGAAGAGAGAGUGCCUUCGGGAGCCAAGUGACAGGUGCUGCAUGGCUGUCGUCAGCUCGUGUCGUGAGAUGUUGGGUUAAGUCCCGUAACGAGCGCAACCCUUGUCCUUAGUUGCCAGCACGUAAUGGUGGGAACUCUAAGGAGACUGCCGGUGAUAAAUCGGAGGAAGGAGAGGACGACGUCAAGUCAGCAUGGCCCUUACGGGUAGGGCUACACACGUGCUACAAUGGGCAGUACAAUGGGUCGCGAAGCCGCGAGGUGGAGCUAAUCCCAAAAAGCUGUUCUCAGUCCGGAUUGGAGUCUGCAACUCGACUCCAUGAAGUAGGAAUCGCUAGUAAUCGCAGGUC
rnacentral:rRNA from 1 species